rnacentral:rRNA from 1 species
AUGCGAGCUAGGUGUUGGGAUGGCUACGUGCCAUUUCAGUGCCGCAGGGAAGCCAUUAAGCUCGCCGCCUGGGGAGUACGGCCGCAAGGCUGAAACUUAAAGGAAUUGGCGGGGGGGCACCACAAGGCGUGAAGCUUGCGGUUCAAUUGGAGUCAACGCCGGGAACCUUACCGGGGGCGACAGCAGAAUGAUGACCAGAUUGAAGGUCUUGUUUGACAAGCUGAGAGGAGGUGCAUGGCCGUCGCCAGUUCGUGCCGUGAGGUGUCCUGUUAAGUCAGGCAACGAUCGAGACCCACGCCUUUAGUUGCUACUGAGGAAAUUUUCCAAGGGGCACUCUAAAGGGACUGCCGUCGACAAGACGGAGGAAGGAGUGGGCUACGGCAGGUCAGUAUGCCCCGAAUCCCCCGGGCUACACGCGAGCUGCAAUGGCAGAGACAAUGGGUUCCGACCCUGGAAAGGGAAGGCAAUCUCGAAACUCUGUCUCAGUUUGGAUUGAAGGCUGGAACCCGCCUUCAUGAAAAUGGAAUGCCUAGUAAUCGCGCGUCAUCAACGCGCGGUGAAUACGUCCCCGCUCCUUGCACACACCGCCCGUCGCUCCAUCCGAGUGGGGUUUGGGUGAGGCGUGGUCUUCUUGGCUGCGUCGAAUCUGAGUUCCGCAAGGAGGGAGAAGUCGUAACAAGGUAGCC